rnacentral:rRNA from 1 species
AUGAUGGAGGACGUCGGCUCCGGUGACGCGACAGCGCAAGGCAGCCGAUCUCAAGACCCCAUGACGCCGCCAGAUCUGUCCCCGCCGCCUCCUUUCUCAGGGCCCACUGGACGUUCGAAAUCCCCCACGGUGAGAAGUUAUGUUAUGGAAACUGAAGACUUGUUUGUGCCUGUUUGGGUAAAAAACUACAGUGAGAAAAGAAGGAAGAACUGGGUGCCGUCAUCGUCUGAUCUCAAACUACUUUCGCUCAAUCGUCUUAAACAGCAACAAGCUUGUGAGGAUAACCGCAAGGUGGCUGUGAAGGAUGUAAGUUGGAGGAAGAAGUGGGUGGUGGCGUGGAUGGAUGUGGUGAGUAGGAAGAUGUGUGUGUCAUAUACAGACAUAAUCAUCAUGGUCAUGCUUGUCAUAGCCGCCAUCCCGCAUGACGAGGACUACCACGACUUUGCUGACCAACGCACACUUUUCCUUGGGAUCCCUAAUACGCUGAAUGUGAUCUCAACGAUCCCCCUCUUUUUUGUCGGUCUCGCCGGGCUCAUCCUUAACCACUGCAAAAGCUAUUUUAGGCUAUGGUCACAGGGGGAUCUCUACACACUCUUUGCUGGUGUCAGUGCUGCUGGCUUUGGUUCAUGCUAUUACCAUCUCAACCCAGAAAAUGGCACCCUAUUUUGGCACAAAUUGCCAAUGGUGACCACUUUCACAUGUUUUGAGGCCGUUUUCAUUAUUGAAAGUUUUGAUGAUUGGGCAAGAACAAAGUCCCUUGCAUCAACAAGCUACUGGUUAUGGGCAGCAGGACUGUACCUCCUUGCUAGAGUAGAAGAGGUUGCGGACAAACAAAUUUAUAGGUGGACUCUUCAGAUUGUUAGUGGGCAUACUCUUGGUCAUUUAUGUGUUUCGAUGGUACCUCUUUUUUUGAUUCUCAUGUUAGCAGAAAGGACAAGGCCAGUUGAACUAGAAAGACGCAUGGUUCCAGUGGAUCAUCAACUAAAUCUUACUUCCAUGGUCUGCUUAUUGGUGCCCAAGAUGAUCUUCCUCUGGGUGCCCAUGAUACAGGUUAGUGUCAUCAUUUGCGAAAUCGGCAUUCUGAUGAUGGAGUUUGGUGCUCGUUCUGUUAAUCAGGCAAAGAUCUCUGACGAUCAAGCAACAUUAGAAACCCCAAUUCGUGCUUGGGAAACUCUGUCACGAAUUCAUGGCCUUUGGGGGAUGGACAUUUACAAGAAUAAGGUGCUUCAGUUUUUACAGAGUGAGCGGUCGGAUGAGUCCUUUCUUGGACUAUGGGGCCCGCCGGGUGUUGGCAAGACGCGACUUCUUUCACUCAUUGCUGCUAGCUAUGCCGAUUCAUUCCGUCACAUCUUAUUUCUUGAUGGUGGCAGCAGCGUGAUAGUUAUGCAACAUCAUCUUGCUUCUUUCUUGAAAUUGGAUUGGGAGACGAUGUCGGCGUUAGAGGAGCAUUGCCGAGCUAAGAUCAUCACUGACAUUCUUGUGCAAGAUAGUUUUUUUGCUUCUAUUAGACAACCUUUAUGA